rnacentral:rRNA from 1 species
UACGAAGGUGGCAAGCGUUGUUCGGAUUUACUGGGCGUACAGGGAGCGUAGGCGGUUGGAUAAGCCCUCCGUGAAAUCUCCAGGCUUAACCUGGAAAGUGCAGAGGGGACUGUUCAGCUAGAGGAUGGGAGAGGAGCGCGGAAUUCCCGGUGUAGCGGUGAAAUUCGUAGAUAUCGGGAGGAACACCAGCGGCGAAGGCGGCCAUCUGGACAGAUAUUGACGCUGAGGUGCGAAAGCGUGGGGAGCAAACAGG